CUGGAGGACUAGAGGACGUGGACUAGAAGUAUGCAGUAUGACUAGAAGACUAGAAGUGUGCUACGUGCAGACUCGCACAUGUCUCCUCGGCCAGGAGGGGCCAGUCUUAGAGGGAGGUUGCCUUCAUUUUUUUUUUAACUCGGCUUUAUUACUUAUCUCACAAGUCCUGAUGCACUACAGUUUGUUGUUUUUUCCACUUGAUGCUUCAUUUAACAUUUAUUUUACUCAUCCAUUUCGUCCUGUUUCUCCCACAUUCCAGGAAAAUCCUUCCAACCACAACGUGUCUGCUGGGAGGACAUUCCUCACUUCGACGGGAAAGGGAGUUGACGGCUCAGACACCAGGGGGCAGUAAUGUUCAUCCAUCCAUUUUCUACCGCUUAUUCCCAUUCGGGGUCGCGGGGGGCGCUGGAGCCUAUCUCAGCUACAAUCGGGCGGAAGGCGGGGUACACCCUGGACAAGUCGCCACCUCAUCGCAGGGCCAACACAGAUAGACAGACAACAUUCACACUCACAUUCACACACUAGGGACCAUUUAGUGUUGCCAAUCAACCUAUCCCCAGGUGCAUGUCUUUGGAGGUGGGAGGAAGUCGGAGUACCCGGAGGGAACCCACGCAGUCACGGGGAGAACAUGCAAACCCCACACAGAAAGAUCCCGAGCCCGGGAUUGCACCCAGGACUGCUCAGGACCUUCGUAUUGUGAGGCAGAUGCACUAACCCCUCUUCCACCGUGCUGCCUAAUUUAUAUAUAUAUAUAUACAUAUAUAUAUAUACUAAACAAUACUAACUAAACCAAACUAAGGAAAUGGAGUGUGUGACAAAACCCAGGAGUGUGUGUGUGUGUGAGGCUAUGUGUAAGGUUAGCUGGAGUGUGUGUUACCAAGUGUUGAGGAGAGCGAAGGAACAAGGCAGUCCAAAUCCACUGGGGAAAACAAGGGAAGAUCCUCAAGGGUAAGACUGGAGAAGACACUGAGGGAGGACAAGCAAGGACGUCAGGCACGGAGGGAAAACGCAGAGCGAGAGAAACAAAUAGCAUAAUGCUUCGGCCGAUCCCUGGGUCCACUGAUCCUUUAUCCAGCUCGCCCUCAUCAGUCCCAGGUGUGCAGAUUGCCAAUCGUCUGCAGCCGCGGGCGUUGCGUGGGCGUGUCCUGGCAUGCUGCCAGACAGAGUGUUGGCGGUCCCAGCUGCCGGGGAAAGGCGAGUUGGAGCCCGCGCCGUGACAGUAGCCCUGGUUACAUCCUCCCUGUCUCAGCAUUAGCCGUGCGCUUCUGCUCCUGAUCUUCCCCCCGGACUCUGACUGCCUUCUUCGAUCCUCGACCCCCACGCUCAGACUUGGAUUUCUGGACACCUCUCUCCUGCCCCACGGACCUCGCUCGGAUCAUGAAUCCCCUGCAAAGGAUGCUGGUUUUCAGGAGGAUGUACAGUAGAUUAUUAUAGAUGGAAAUACAGGGUCACCCAGAAGUUAACAGAACCCAAAAAUAAACCUGUAAAUUUACAUGUUUCAGGGUACACAUCUAAGUCGACUUUGAGCAUUGCGCAUAUAAGAACAACAGUCUUCCCCAAAAUGUCUUUGUCAUUAUCCAAAAAUAAUGUUACACUAUUGAAUGGAAGCAAGUCAAACACUAGCGGCAGGCGGAAUACAGGUGCUGAGGCUGAAGCUUGUCCCUUUAGACCACCCACAAGUUUAUUAUUGGCUUUCUUGGGGGCUGCAAGUAACAUCUGACCAAUCCAGCACUUCAGGGUGUCAUCAUCAUCAUCAUCAUCAUGUACCAGUCACUUUUAAAAUCAAGAAUUUGUGGCGAACCAUCAAAAUCAAAGUUUGGCGCCAUGCCACACCCACAUUCUAUAGCAGUGGCAAAAUGUAUUUGCAUUUUAUCAUCGACCAUCAGUUUAGUAUUUGUCUGAUCAUCUAAAGUCAUGUAAUGACAAUGUGACUGCUGAUGGUGAGGAGUAGUUUUCGCCACCAGGCUCCGCCCACUAUGUAUG